CACGUCAGCGCGUUAUGCUGACGUGGCAACAAAUCGCGUCCACGAGGGGGCGAUUUGCUGCCACAUCAGUAAAGCACGCUGACGUGG
rfam:Gossypium raimondii Chr03_contig_786, whole genome shotgun sequence.